rnacentral:rRNA from 1 species
UACGUAGGGUGCGAGCGUUGUCCGGAAUUAUUGGGCGUAAAGAGCUCGUAGGCGGCCUGUCGCGUCGGAUGUGAAAGCCCGGGGCUUAACCCCGGGUCUGCAUUCGAUACGGGCAGGCUAGAGUGUGGUAGGGGAGAUCGGAAUUCCUGGUGUAGCGGUGAAAUGCGCAGAUAUCAGGAAGAACACCAAUGGCGAAGGCAGCUCUCUGGGACGGUACUGACGCUGAGACGCGAAAGCGUGGGGAGCGAACAGG